UUUUACAAAAUAUGUAAUAAAUAUGAAGUAAUGUAGGAAAAAGAUUUUGUAUAAGCGUUCGAAAUGCAUAACUCCGAUAUUAUUGUUUGUAUUGACGAUCACGUUCGUGACAAUCGAGAUAUAAACCGAGAUGAUGAGGCGACAUACAGAGACGAGACGAGAUCACCGAAGAAGUAAACAAGACGGGAAAAGUCAACGAAUUUAUUGUGCGAAACAGUUCUUCUACUCAUUGUUCUGAUAAACUUGUAUAUAUUAAAUUUUAGUUAAUAUCGACAAUUUGUGAAAUUAUUUCUCUAUCACAAUCUUAUUUCUACAAAUAUUUUGGGGGCUCAGCCGGGAUCGAGAGAGAACUCGUUUGGUGACGACCUACGAAGAAAGAUGAUACUGUCUUUUGCGAAAAGGAGCUUUGAGUAAGAUAUUUUGAGAAGUUGCAAGGAGCCUGAAGGUGCGAGUGGAGGAGUGGGACAUUGCCUGUAUUUACGAAGAGGCAGUAGAGUCGUAGAAGUCGCAGAUGGACGACGAUUGCGCGUGCAGUGAACUGACGACGAGGAGGCUGUGACGCGUACCGGCUACGGGUGUUUUGCGACGGUGGCUAUGGCGGAUCCCACUGUGGUUAGGCUCAAGGAGCUAAUCACAUAGGUUAUCCACGACGGGAGGCAAAGCUAAGCUCGUUGCCUGUUUGAUAGACGCAGACCCGCUGGAUGAGUGGUUGGAGGAGUGCCUCCGGGAAGAGGCUAGUGGUGAUUGUUUCGAUGAGAACGAUCCUCAUUAUGAGGAUGUGCAUCGGCGGGAGCUCGAAGUAUGUCGACGUAAGAAGGAGCUCGCUAUACGCGAACUUGAGCUUGCCCGAUAUGAAAUCGCUUUGUUGCGAGAGCGGGACGGCCAGGGUGGCUAGCGGAGAAGAGUAGCUGCGGAUGGCGGCGAUGGUGCGGUGUAUUCGCGAUUGAAUUUGACGACGAUCGCAGAUUUGUUGGCGGACUUCAACGGUACUUCUAGCGACUUUGAUACUUGAGAGAAACAAAUAAAACUUCUAAAAACGACAUAUCAGCUGGGAGAUGAUCAGGCCAAAAUCAUAAUCGGGAUGAGAUUGAAAAAAGGCUCUUGAGUGGUUUCAUUCGAGGCCCGAAUUUAUCGGCAUAAAUUUUAACGCUCUACUUGACGAGAUAAAAGCGAUGUUUUGCCACCGAUAGAGUAGAAUAGCAAAGCGUAAAAAAUUCGAAGCGCGUGUUUGGAGAAAGGAUGAGACUUUCCACGAAUACGUUCACGAGAAAGUUAUUUUAGGGAAUCAUGUGCCGGUUGAAGCCGAUGAGAUUAUAGAUUAUAUUAUAGAUGGUAUACCAGACAAUAUAUUGCAAAAUCAGGCAUGUAUACAACGAUUUGCUGAAACAGAAUCGUUAUUAGAGGCACUCAGAACCGUAACAUUGCGCGAUUGUCAUACGAAUUUGAAUCGAGCGGACAGACGAACGGGUAGAUCGAUGACGAUGGAGCGAGAGAGCAGGAUGGCGGAUAGUGAGAGGAUAAACAACAACGACGGUUACGUUGAGAGAAAGAAAAUAAUGCCAAACAUUAAGCGAUGUUUUAAUGUGGCGCGCGAGAUCACCUUGGUGCUAGUUGCCCAUCGUGAGCUUUGGGUACGAAAUGUUUUGAGUGCGGAGAAUUCGGGCACGUGACCUCGAAAUAUCAGAAGAAGAUCGUUGUGACUGGAAACUUUUGUGCCGUAACACUCUCUUCGCGAAAGAAGUAUACUAAGGAUGUUCUAAUAAAUGGAAUAAAAGUCGAAGCGCUUAUAGAUACAAGCAGCGAUAUCUCUCUUAUGCAUGCGGAUCAGUAUGUAGAGAUAGGGUCACCUCAAUCCCAAACAACUAAAGUUCGUUUUUCGGGCGUGGGAUCUGGCGAAAUAACUACUUUAGGAGAGUUUCACGCGAGGCUUACUGUUGACGGACAUUCUUCCCUGAUGCUCAUUAGAGUCGUUUCGGAUGCAGUGUCGCGACAUAAGUUGCUAAUUAGUACAGAUUAUCUAGAUAUAGUGGAAACUAACGUUAGACGAGGCAUAGUUACUGUUCCGGACGGCAGCUGGGUGUCCGUGCGGAGCGUGUACGGCGGGCGGCCGGGCCCCAGGCGUCGCUCAACUCGCGGUCGCCGGCCUCCCGCCGCCAGUGCACGCCGUCGCCGCGACGCGGCGAUUGCGUCAGCCGGAACCGCUUCUCGCGGUUAAUUCUCGCUUCGGCGCCUAUAUAAGGCGCCGCGCGAGACCACUCGAGGCCUUUUGCCUUUCACCAGCCUUUUGACUACGGUUGCACAUCACGUCACUGCCUCGUUGAGGUAUUUUUUUAAACUCUAGUUUCAUAUCGCUUUCUUGAGUGCGCAAACACGUUGGGCAUUUGCCUCGCCAGAGGUAUUCCUUUUGGAUAUCUGCAUCGAUCUUCACUGUCUUUAGAGUGUCGUAGAUACGUUGGCAUUUAUGUUUAGGACUUACACAACUCUCCGCAGCCUUUUAGAGUGCGUUUGCACGUUGGGCUAUUGCCUCUAGAGUGUCGUCCGAAGACACGUUGGCAUUUAGGUUACGGAGUGUCUAGGUGACUCCACGGAUCGCCACCUUCUCAAUACGAUCCAGAAUUGAGAGAAGGCUUCGCGCGACCACUUCGGAUUACUUGGACGCCUCCACCGCGGUGGACGUCUCACUUCGCGACAUCUCCCACAGUGCACGCACCGGGUAUUCGGGCUGAACGAGCUUAUUGUCGGGCUCACGACUCCGCGCGAGACACGCUCGCUAUUGCUUCGCUGCCAGGGUCGCAGCUCUCACGCGAGAUACGCUCGCUAUUACUUCCCUGCCAGGAGCAUAGCGCUCCCGCGACACACGAUCGCUGGCAUAAGUCUACUCAAGAUUCCUACGUCGUCGCAUCUGCGACUCCAUACGCGAGGAAUAUUCGCUUCUCGUCUCGACGAGACUUAGCGUUCGUCACGCACGCGGUAGUCAACGUACGUCAACGUCAAGCCACGCCUCGGCUGCGUACGCGAUUCAGAGUUACAUUCGCGUUUAGGCUCUCACUGCGAGACAUAGCAUUCGCCGCGUGCGCGACUGUUCAGGCGAGCAACGCUCACCAGUCCAACACCUCAGAUUCAGCCUCUGUUGCUCCCUCGCCAAUCUGAGCUGAAUCUUGUUCAGACUAGACUCCGACACUCACAAAGAAGACGGAUACGUGUCUCAAUACUCUGAGUGAUCAUUACCCUCCGAAAGGGGGAUUUCUUUCUAGCGCGGAGGCGCCGGGCAAUUCCACGCGUGCCCUGGGUCACGCCGUGCUCUUAUCCACAAGAGCACUCUUGUACUUCCUCACACCAUCUUACGAGGCUCCUGAAUAGGAGAGCACGAUCUAUACUCGCGCAAUCGACUAUAGUAGUCGACGAACGUUCGACGGCAUAUGAACUAGCCGCUCACCGCCUAAGGCUGUUCGAAACAGUUACGAUUAAGCCGAUUUCUGAACAAACAGUCGACGAUGAUGAUUUGCUUGAGAUACUUCAGAUUGAUAUAGAAGAUACAUAUGGGCCGAAUGAGAUAGAUAUAGAACAUAUCCAAGAUCCUGAAUGUAGACACGCCGUUGCGACGUUAAUUAAAGAUUACAGGCCGAAUCAAGCGUGCGAAAUGGAUAUAAAAAUGACUAUUAUUGUGAAGGACGACGAAUCCGUGUAUCAGCGUGCGAGGCGUUUAUCACCAUUCGAAAGUUCGACACUUCAACGAAAGCUGCGACCUCGUUGAUCGGCGUCAGUCACGAAAACGCACGGGCGGGAUGGUUGGAUGGCACAAAAUGGGUACGUGCUUUUCGUGUAGUCGCUAGGUACGCCGGAAGGAUCGUCCGCAGGAAACGUUCAUGUAGGUAGCACAGUUCAUGAGUACGAUUCUAACCACGUUUUCUACUAUCGACUGUUCGCGGUAUUUGGAUAUUAUUCGGACUGACGAAUCGUACAAAAGACCUUAUAUGAAUGGCGUGCACGUUUUUUAAUAUAGGGGACAAGAUAUUUUGUUCUUAAAUAAAAGUCAUCUGAAGUAAAUGCUCCUAAUUAUUCGCCACGAAAUUUUUAAUUGAAGUGAGAAAAUCAGAAGUGAGAAAAUAUAUUCUAAAAAUUCUUGCAGAAUAUGUUGAAAUGAAAUGCUAUGUUCACAAAAUGACGCAAUCGAUCGAGUAUAUCUAUAAAAUAAUCCACGAACACUUUGCUCGUGCUUUAACAAUCAAAAGAUCGCCGUAAAAUUAACAUAUGUGACAUACAAUAUACUUUUUUAAUUUAAAUUUUCUUAUAUUUCUAUCACGUUAACUUUACAGUAAUUUAUUGAUUAUUAGAGCGCACAACAGAAAAGUGUUUGGACUAUUUAUUUAUUUUACAGAUUUAUUCAAUUGAUUGCGUCAUUUUGUGAACAUUUUAUUUCAACAUAUUUUACAAGAAUUUUUUAGCAUUUAUUUUUUGGUCAUCAUAAAUCAAGAUGGUCGCGGUGAAGAAGCAUUAAACAGGUAUUUUUUCUUGUAGAGUUAAAAAACCGAUUUUUCUUGUUUUAUAUAUUUUAAAAAUCUGAAGCCUUGACAAUAUAUUCAUAAUGUUCUUAAUAAAAAUUCGGAUAUUUGUUGGAGCUAUAAACUGUAAACUGAAGCAGUGCGCAAGUAGAAAACAAGAUGCCCGGGUAAAAAGGAAGUUUUUGACCAAUUCACGAUCUUUUUUCUUAAAAUUUAUUAGAACGAAGUAUCAUAUAGAGCUUUGGUUAUAUCUGAAACAACAAUACGAGCUUACUGCGGUGUGACUAUUUACUCUAAAGUAUAUUUUUUUCAUUUCAGAAAUUAUAAAAACUGCUGCUUUUCUAGUGACCCGUACUUUUAAUGAAGAAUUUAUAUUCUUAUAACAAAUCAAGUAACAAUGAAAGUACUGGGAAUAAAAAUUAAUUCUCAAGCUAAAAAUUUUGAGCGUCAAUUAGCGUGAUGCUGAACGAUUAGAAGUGGUUGAACGUCGAAAUUUAUAUAAGUCACAAGAGGCUAAAAUGGCUCGUAAAAAUGAAAAAAAAAAUGCUACAGAAGAUUGCUUGGUCGAAGAGAUAGGGGAUAUCCAGAGUCUAUGGCUCUGGAAUAGUUGGUUAAAUAUCAAUCAGUGCUUCCCAAUCAUUUAUGCAAUCAUUUAUGUAGAGGUGUAUUUGUUGCAGACUACACUUUAACGUCAUUUAUAAUACAUAUAGUCCAUUAGAUAGUUUGUGAUAACUAAAAAUAUCAAAAGUAACGUGUAACUUGUAGCGUCGUUACCAUUACUUCUUUUUGGUAAUGAUCGUUAUUUUUUUGUAACGGUAAUGAUAACAUUGUUACAUUUUUACAGUAAAGGUAAUGAAUUUAACUAUUAUUUUUAGGAUUAAUUUGGUUAUUUCUACUCAAUAGAUGAUGCGUUGAUUGCGCUGAUAGCAUGUAUUCUUGAUUGGGUAUCACGAUAAUCGCUGGAAAACAGUACGUGGUUUUAUCUUAUUCUUCAUGUAAGAAUGAUGUUAGUGCAAAAUCGGAUUUUGCAAUUUAAUUGUUAAAAGUUUUUAACACAUUUAAGGUAUGUUUAAUGUUUAGUAUAGUUCACUUUUGUAGUUGCGUGUGUUAUGUAUUACACUCAGCACAUCUAUUAUUAAAUUUAUUAAAAAUUUUUAACAGUCCCGAAUUGCAAAAUCUGUCUCUGUACUGACAAUAAUUUUUGUGAAGAAUUAAAGAUAAGAAGAUAGAAUCAAGGAAAUAUAUCAUAAAGAAAUAUUAGUUUUCCGAGUCAGGAUUAUUGCAGUUUUAAAUAGUUUGUUCCUUUUAAAUAAACUGCCCAGUAAGCAAUCUGCGCGCAGACUGACGU